rnacentral:rRNA from 1 species
UACGGGGGGGCAAGCGUUGUUCGGAAUUACUGGGCGUAAAGGGCUCGUAGGUGGCCAACUAAGUCAGACGUGAAAUCCCUCGGCUUAACCGGGGGACUGCGUCUGAUACUGGAUGGCUUGAGUUCGGGAGAGGGAUGCGGAAUUCCAGGUGUAGCGGUGAAAUGCGUAGAUAUCUGGAGGAACACCGGUGGCGAAGGCGGCAUCCUGGACCGGCAUUGACGCUGAGGAGCGAAAGCCAGGGGAGCAAACGGG